CUACAUUGUUUUGUAUGCAAACACUCUUUGUGAACAGUCAACUCAUUGGGAAAGAUCCUGAUGCUGGCAAAAGAAGAAGAAGGCGGCAGAGGAUGAGAUGGUUGGAUAACAUCACUGAUUCAGUGGACAUAAACUUGGGUGAACUUCAGGAGACGGUUCACCUCUUUCCGGUUCUCUGGACUGUAUUCUGCCAGCUCUUCUGCCCAUGGGAUUAUCCAGAUCCAGGCAAGAAUAUUGGAGGGGGUUGUCAUCUCCUCCUCUGCCUGAUCCAGGGACUGAACUGAGUGUCCUGUGUCUCCUGCACUGAAAAAAGUUUGCUGACCCCCAUCUUAGACAAAUAAAAGGCUACGCUUGAGGGCCUGUGAGGGUGACGACUCAGAGAACAAAACAGCCGACUCUCGAGCCCAUCUGUGAACGCUCUUAUGGAGAGGAGGACAAGGAGAAUAAAUUGGAACAAGAACCAAGGUUUUGGUGUCACACUGGCCUGAAAUGAAAUUUUGGUUUUGUACUUAUAAGAUUGGUGUUCAUAAACAAGCUAUUUUAUGUCUGUAAAGUGGGGAACCCAGUAAGGGCGGAAAGAGAAAGUACAGUUCCUGCCCCUGAUUUGGAGUAACUAUUCAACAAACCUUAGCUUUCCUACUUAAAUCCCAUAUUUGGAAAAGCUGGCACUUUUCACUGGAAGAAAUAAUUAUUACUCUUAAUUCUUAGUAAUUGGUUAAAAGCACCCAAGGUUUUCCAUCUUGCUCUGACUGUAACUUUUGCUAGACUUUCGAUAAAAUAAACUUUUAUACUUAAAAAUGGGAGUAGUACAG
ensembl:lncRNA